rnacentral:rRNA from 1 species
AACUAACGCUGGCGGCGUGCCUAACACAUGCAAGUCGUACGAGAAAGCCGGCUUCGGCUGGUGAGUAAAGUGGCGCACGGGUGAGUAACGCGUGGAUAAUCUGCCCUUAAGUGUGGAAUAACGUACCGAAAGGUGCGCUAAUACCGGAUGAUGCGUGACCUGCCAAGUGGGUCACGUCAAAUGGUAGCCUCGGCCUCUGCUCCGGGAUGGGCCCGCGCCGGAUUAGCUUGUUGGUGAGGUAACGGCUCACCAAGGCGACGAUCCGUAGCUGGUCUGAGAGGACGAUCAGCCACACUGGGACUGAGACACGGCCCAGACUCCUACGGGAGGCAGCAGUGGGGAAUCUUGCGCAAUGGGCGAAAGCCUGACGCAGCAACGCCGCGUGAGCGAAGACGGCCUUCGGGUUGUAAAGCUCUGUCAGGAGGGACGAAGCCACUCGGGUGAACAGCCCAGAGGGUGACGGUACCUCCACAGGAAGCCCCGGCUAACUACGUG